UACGUAGGGUGCGAGCGUUGCCCGGAUUUAUUGGGCGUAAAGGGCGCGUAGGCGGCUCGGCACGUCCGUUGUGAAAUCGCCCGGCUCAACUGGGCGGGGUCAGCGGAUACGGUCGAGCUUGAGCAAGCUAGGGGGCAAUGGAAUUCCCGGUGUAGUGGUGGAAUGCGUAGAUAUCGGGAGGAACACCAGUGGCGAAGGCGGAUCUCUGGGCCUGUUCUGACGCUGAGGCGCGAAAGCUAGGGGAGCGAACGGG
rnacentral:rRNA from 1 species